rnacentral:rRNA from 1 species
UGACCUCGGAUCAAGUAGGAAUACCCGCUGAACUUAA